GAGUCCGCUUUGGCAGCGGCAAAAGUGGCGGCUUCCGCCUCGAACUUCGACGCCCGGCGCCCGCGUUGCCGAUCGAUGACGUCACCGGAGCAGCUGCGAGGCCGUCACGGUCACGUGGAGAACGCAGGUCACCGAAAAAGCAGAAUGCUGUGCCCUUGGCCCGAGCCUGUGAACUCCGAGGUCUGAGGAAGGUGACUCCCACGGUGAAUGCUCUUUAACAAAGGUGCAGCUCGCAGCCCUCCCAGAGGCCCCCUGAAAACUGCAAGGUGGGGAGAAACCCGAAAAACGUAACGAGACCCCAUGGGCGGUUGACAGAUGGCGAGGCACUACCAUACACAGAUGCCCACCUCUUAUCUCUCGCAUCUUUGCCAAGACAAAACACACUGAAGCAGGCAUGGGAUCAAGCAGUCGGGAAAACAAGGGAGGGAGAAACACGGAGGCACUGUACAUGCGUCUGGUAUGAUGUACUCCCAAACACCUCAGCCACCAACCCUGCGCUGCAGUGAGUGUGCAACACUGCCAUCCAGAUUGAAACCCAGCUUGGGGUAAAGGUUAAUGGAAGUGACCUGCGAAACGGAGCGUGCAACAACCACCACAUCUGCUGUGGCAACCUUGGAAUCGUAACAUUAUUUGUGCCAAAAACAUAACACACAAACUAAAAAAAACAAUAAAAUAAAAAAGAAGUUGAAAAAAUUAAGUUUUAUUUUUCGCACGACUCUGUAUUUUCCGCAUGCGCCGUCCCUGGAUGUUUGCUCCAUGAUCCUCAUUCACAGGUGAACUCGAGAAACCAGAAACUCAAAUUGCCUUGGGGGGGAGUUAAGAUUAUUCUGCCAGGCUUAAGAUCGGAGGAAAUGGGAAAAGAAGAAAAAAAAGUAUGGUAGAAGGAACAAGUCCAAGUCUAAUGUGAACAUGGGAAGGACGGAGCGGAGCCGUCUCUCACCCCGCGGACAGCCUGAAAAUACCUUCAGCAUAGUCACCGAGGAGAACCGCUCAGUGAGCAAUUCAUAGAUUCAUCAUCCAUCUUUUUAUGUAUUUGGAAUCCAUAUGUAUUUUUUUUAUACACUAUUUCAAUUAUUCUGUAAAAAACUAUUUUUUUUAAAUUUGUUUAUCAAAAUGAUGCUUUGUCAGUGAUGGUUAGUGGGACCGAUGUUCCUGUACAGCUGUUUGGUUCAAAGCAGCCUUACUUAAAGCAGAAGUAGGCAACUUUCGGGGCUUGAAUUUGUCAUUAUGAUGUUACAACUGAUUACACAAUGUUAUGGCGAUAGAUAAAUGACACUACCCACGUUUAUAUCAGACCCCUGUAAAUCUUUCUUUCACCAUAUUAUUCUCUUGGCCACCGGGACGCAUUUUUUCGUGUAAAAAAAAAAAAGAAAGACAACUUGAUUUCAGGCACAAAGGAACCGCGUCGCCCAUUGGGUACCAAAGCAAGGAAGAGAGUAUAAGCGACCUCCCGGUAUCUGGAAAGGGCAGCAGACGGUGGAGCAACAGGCGAAUUGACAGAAAAAACUUGAGCAACAAAAGAAGUCGGAGAAGGUGACUGAUAGAAUAAGAUAUAUGUAUGUAUAUACACACAUAAUAUACAACGACGAUACCACUUGUAACCACUAGGGGCAUGAAUGUUGCCCGUUGCCUCUACGCUUGUGAACUACUUUCAGCUACAUUAUCAGUCGCUGAGUCAUGCGUUCAGAUGUUCAUUAGCUUCGCCAUGCAAGCUAUUCCUUAUGUUAAUUCUCCUAAGAAUAUAUAUAUACAUUACAGUAAACACGUUACUAUGUAGGUCAAUGCCAAUGUCAUUGCCAUUUCAGAAUUGUUUUUAUUUCAUUUUCCAUUUGGACAUUCUGUGUGGAGACUUUAAUGUUUACGAAGCCUGUCUUAAAAAUUGAAAAUUAAAAAAAUACUACAAUAAGCAUCAGAAGGAUGUUUGUGCAAUUUGAUAUGAAUAGAACUCAGAAAGCAGCACUACUGAAAUGACUCAAGGCCUUAACAUUUGUGACCUGUUUCAGCGUGUGGAUAUUGCCAGGCAACACAGUUGCAGCCAGGGAAAAGUUUUUUCUUCCUCUUUUUUUUUGUAAACUCCAUUGAAACUAAAGCACUCUGUUGAUGACCCUUUUUUUUUUUUUACAUGUCGCAAGAGAUGAAUACCGCUGCCUGACCACACGCAGAUGUCAUUCAUUUGGUUGUGGAAACAGGUGCGAGUGUAACGGCUUCAGUUCACGAGAAUCCAAAUCUGCAGCCGUAAAACCUGCGGGCCGACUGCGUCUCCGUAACUUCACGGUGUAUUAAUUGUUUUCGGCGCUGUCAGCAAGAAUGGCCUCCGCUUGUUGAAUGGCAUCCAGAAGAAAAAGGGAAAAAAAAAGUCAUCAGCCAAAUUGCAUGGACGCAAGAUCCUGAGGCAGCGGCGGCGGUGCAAGAUGGUAUAUACGUCUGAAGGUGGGGCUGGAGAACGUCUGGCUCCAUUUAAAAAAGAAAAAGAAAAGGUUUCUCUGGAAACGCAGGUCACCAACACUGGGGCAGAUAGAUGGAGGGGUGGAACACUAAAUGAAUACACAUGACAAAACAGCCAAUUCAUCAGGACAGGAUUACUGUGAAGAAGAAGACACGUCAUAGGCGCAGACGUUACUGGCAUUUUAUGUGACAGGCACAGGCUUAUCAAAGCUGACCUGCUAUACCGGGUUAUGAAUAUCAUAUAAGAUGAGGUGAGUCGGGGGGGGGGAUUUGGUGGCAGUGAUUAGUUAAGUGUUGAGAGGUGCUGCGGGGAAUAAGCCCCUGUGCUAGAGGACAUGAAUUUUCUUUUCAGGUGUCCUACUUUUCACGUAUAAAGAAGCUAAAGUAGUGCAGAUUUGUGGAAUUCAAA